rnacentral:lncRNA from 1 species
CAACGUAUUCAGAUAGAUUUCGAAAUAUAUAUUUAGAUUUCUAUAUUUCUUUUUGUUAUCGAUAGAAGUAGUCGUAAUAAUAGAAACGAAAGGAUCGCUUUCACGCUAGAAUGCAAUGAAAAUAAAUAAACGUUAAAAUUCAGAGCAUACGUUCCUCUGCUUCACGAAGCGGAAUAUACCUAUUAAACGAUGCAGCCACGCGCCAAAAUAAAAGAUCAUGGGGGAGACUAAAUAGUUUCCUAUAGCCGCAGGCAGUGCACGAUUUGUGCAUCGAACUGUCAUAGGGACAUAGGGAUAUUGAACGUUCUCACGUUUUUCACAUGGCCAGUUCGAAACGUCACUUUUGAUAUUCGUGCUGUUCAAUGAAUCUCAACAAUUGAUAAAAACAGGAUAGAGAUGUGAGAUUCGUAAAAAAAAAACGCAAAAGAGAAGUAACUAUAGAGAUUCUGAUUCGAAGUCUGAAGGGUACUUGAAAACGAAAAUGGCAAAGAAAUCGCAAACGGCAAUCACGGACUAAGUACUAACCUAAUCAACCAAUCUUCGUUCUGUUCCUCUGUUUCACUGCUCCUCGAUUCUUUUACUCAAAGAAAGAAAAUGAUUCGCUACCCUCGAAUUAUCCUUUUUGUUACAAUUCUUCUUAUCGAAUGAAGUUUAAACUAUAGAUCGGUCUACUCUUUCCCGAUUGGAAUGACUUAUGGGCAUGCGGCGUGCUUUUGGUCUCCGCGAGUCUAUCGCAGGAUUAUAGCGAGCCAUGCAACUAUAAUAAUCUUCCUCGUGGCGAUUUUUACUUCUCUUCGAUAAUAUUGGAAUUUUGAUUGAUGAAGUGAUUUUUGCUGACUUUUAAGAAAUGGAUCAAAAAUAAUGGAUAAAAUAACAUCCCAGUACAAUUGGAUUAUAAUCUCCAAAACUUGAAGAAAAAUACAAAACAAUUGCUCUUCCCUAUUCUCUGCGCUCAACAUUCCAAUUAAUGUAAAUCAUAGUAGUAACGAUACUACUCCACUGGGAUCGCUUCGUGGAAAUUUCCGUGCAUUCCGAAAAUUGCCAGGUCCCCAAGUGAGCGAAAAUUGGAUCGUUUGUAUCAUUUGCGACUGUAACGCCGGCAAAUGCCAUCCCAGGCUAUUAUAAACACGAUAGAAUGAGGUUUGGCAGAGAGUAGGCCAAUGAUCGGAUUAUCCUGGAAACUUCUUGGGCAGAGAAACACCCGUGAACUUAGUAUGUGCCGAGAAGCGUGUACCAUGCUCGUAUAUCGACAUAAGGCAUUGUUAGGAUUCCCGGGGGACAAACCGAGAUCAAACGCUGUUAGCGCAAACUAUGCCCUCGAUUCUCGCUUAAGUUCAUUUUAGUACCAUACCUCCAACCUUGCAAGAUGUGUUACUAGAUGUGUACUAAUGCCUUUUAUUUGGAUUUAUUUUUAUUCUUUAAUUCUGUGUUUUUUUUUUUUAGAUGGUGGAUUUAUUAGAUGGUGGUGAUCUUAUUUAUUAGUAAUCAUUCCUAUUUUGUCGACAUUUAUUUAUUUUUAAUAGAAGAUAUAGACAAUGUUUGUACAUUUACAUGAAGAAGAAUGUUAAAAAUAGUUUUAGAUGAUACUGUUUUUGCUGAAUAUAAUUAUAUAAGUAAUCCAAGUUGCCUGGAGAGAGUUAAUUAUUAUAAAUAUAUUAAAUAUUGGAUUAAUCAUUAUUAUUAUAUCAACUUUUUUAUUUAUUUUGGAAAUUAAUCUUCAAGAAUAGAUUCUCCAAAAAUUUCUUAUGAAUAUAUUAACAUCCUAUAUACACAUGUAUCUGGUGCACACGAGGUUUGGUAUAUCGUAUCCGAAAAAAAGCAUUCGUGAAGCGGUGGCCCGACAAUGGCGGCCAGUAAUAAAUUAUAAAUCGAAAAAAGGAGGAACAACAGCAACAAGAAGCGGCAACCGCGGCGAGUUACGGUUUCGCGUUAAAUAUGAAAUAUUGCUAUCCAUGUCUCGAAAGUGCGCAUGUAUACAAGGUAGAAUGUGUAUACGUAUACAUAUAAAAGUAGUACGGUAUUAAGUAGCUGUUUAACAUAUUUUAAUUGCCAAACUAAAAUUUGAAAUACCACUAUAUGCUAGUUAUAAUAACUUUCCUAAUAUCUAUUAUAAAUCUUUGUAAAACAUUUGUCUAUAAAAGUGGAAGUUUAGUGGAAGUGAA